UUGUACCUGGUGGCGAGCGGCGGACGGGUGAGUAAUGCCUAGGAAUCUGCCUAGUAGUGGGGGAUAACGUCCGGAAACGGGCGCUAAUACCGCAUACGUCCUACGGGAGAAAGUGGGGGAUCUUCGGACCUCACGCUAUUAGAUGAGCCUAGGUCGGAUUAGCUAGUUGGUGAGGUAAUGGCUCACCAAGGCGACGAUCCGUAACUGGUCUGAGAGGAUGAUCAGUCACACUGGAACUGAGACACGGUCCAGACUCCUACGGGAGGCAGCAGUGGGGAAUAUUGGACAAUGGGCGAAAGCCUGAUCCAGCCAUGCCGCGUGUGUGAAGAAGGUCUUCGGAUUGUAAAGCACUUUAAGUUGGGAGGAAGGGCAGUUACCUAAUACGUGAUUGUUUUGACGUUACCGACAGAAUAAGCACCGGCUAACUCUGUGCCAGCAGCCGCGGUAAUACAGAGGGUGCAAGCGUUAAUCGGAAUUACUGGGCGUAAAGCGCGCGUAGGUGGUUUGUUAAGUUGGAUGUGAAAGCCCCGGGCUCAACCUGGGAACUGCAUCCAAAACUGGCAAGCUAGAGUAUGGUAGAGGGUGGUGGAAUUUCCUGUGUAGCGGUGAAAUGCGUAGAU
rnacentral:rRNA from 1 species